CUUCCCAUCAGCCCUUGAGGCUGCAGGGACCAGCCCUUUGUGGAGAAGCCCAGGCGGCCUAGAAUCCAGUGUCGUCCGUGAGUGCUUGGCUGGUGUUCAAGUGCAUCUUCCAGCCUGAGACCGCGUGGACUCGCUCAUCGUGAGGGCGAGAGGAGGAUAAGCCCAUUGGGCUGUCGGCUGAGAGUGAGGUGCGGGACCAUCCACAAUAUUGUUUGAACAUCUGAAGACAUGGGGAACUUGCCAUCUGAUAUCUGAUAACAGACUUCCUGUAAAGCAGGACUGGUAGUUUCCUGAUAACAAAUUCUUCAAUAUGAAGAUUGCUGAUGAAAUCCUUGGCAUCGUCGGAGAUCUCAUCGAAUGCCUCGUCGUCGAAGUCCCAGGUGGCUGAGGUAACGUUGGCCAAGGUUUCGUUAUCGUUGUCUCCCAUGAAGGGGGAAAGGCCACUGACUCUGGAGAGACAAGAGCAGGACAGCAGGUGUGGCUAGGAGAGGGCGCGACGACCAGAUGAGGGAAUUGAGGCACAGCCCAGGCUCAAGUCACCUGCCCAAAGAUUCACAGCCAGUGAGAUUGGAAGCCAGGUAUCUGCCUCUAGAGCCUGUCCUCUUAAAUGCUAUACUAUCCUAACAUUUCUGUAAAGAUGAAGUAAAUUGCAGUGUUCAGCACUGGCACCAGGCCUGGUCCACAGUAAGGAGGCGGUCCAUGCCCGGAGAUCUCAUGCAGUUCUGCUGGGUUCCCUCCACUGCCUUACCAAGCUGUGAGUGCAGGAAUGACUUUGUGACCAGCAGCUUAAGCCAAAUAAACUUUAUAAGGUAAAGAAUUUCAAAACAAA
rnacentral:lncRNA from 1 species